UAAUAAUACCUGUAAUAACACUAUUAUAGUAAUUGUAACCGUAAAUAUUAACAAUGGCGAUACUAUCCUUAGUAAUACUGAUGUUAUCUCCCAAUAUAAAUUAGUUCUGCCACUUAAAUUAAAAAAGAAAAAGUUCCGUAACAAAACACUUGAUAAAACUGCCCUCAUCUAAGGUCAUCGAGAAAUCAUCUAAAAGGGAUCAAAUUACAAUUAAAACUCGAUAUAAAAAUAGGAGUAGAAUUCUUGAACGAUCGAUGCGGCGCGUCGAAUUGUUCUUUUGCGAAGAACAAACGUUCUCGAACAAUGGCGAACUCGAGUGACGGAAACGCGCGAAAUUUACCUUUAAUGGCGGGCAAAAAAGUGUACGAGCGAGAAGAGUAGCGAAACGGGAGCGCGCGAGGGAAUGUACUGGAAAAAGAGAGCAAAAGCAAAUGAUAGUUGAAAGAAGAGAAAACCAGGAUCGUGGCCCGGGGCUGUUCUGGUGAAAGCUCGUGCACUUUGUUCGAAACAACGUUCGUUUUGGCAUCCUGCCAGGAACUGUUCUCUCUGGCAAGCAACAGCUGAUUUCUCAAACUGUAUUUUCCUUCCUUUAUUUAUUGACCGUUGCAUCACUUGUCAUAGGUUAGGUACUGUUCGUUUAUCUUUGACAAAAUAUAAAAUGCAAGCUGAUGUUAUUUAAGGUGGUGCAGCAUAUUUAAUGGAACGAAGAGAACGAUGGAUAAUAUAUUUGGGUCAUCUGGAAAAUGCUUGCACUUUUUUAAUUAUGCAAAUUUAUACAAGAAAGGAUAUAUAAUAAAAUUAGACAAACCGGAACACCUUCAUGUUUCGAUAUCGACCAAAUUUUGCAAGUAAGAUGUUUUAUGCAGAAGAAAAUUUCUAUAACAAUGGUUUUUUGUGACACGAAAGAAAAUUUGUCAUUCUUAUGUCAUUCUCUGUAUCAUCGACGAGAUACAGUAUAGGGUACGAAAUAUUCUGAACACAAAAUCUCCAUCUUUGGACCCAUGGAAUAUA